GUAAGCCCUUUUGUGUAUCUGAUCUUACCCUUCUUCCUGGUCUUCUCAUCAGAUUAUCCAGUUCAAGCAUUUUGGUGCUGGAUUUCCUCUUCCAACACUGUGUACUCCAAUUAACAUUCUUCUUCAUCAGGUACCUCUGGAGGAUGAGUCUGUGGAUGUGGCUGUGUUUUGCCUUUCACUAAUGGGAACCAACAUCAGGGACUUCCUUGAGGAGGCGAAUCGAGUGCUAAAGCCAGGGUGAGUCCCUAGAACACAGAUGAUUUUGCUGUGCAUGCAUGAGUCUACACCUUUACACAUGACUUCCUCCUUUUCCCAGGGGUCUUCUCAAAGUAGCGGAAGUCAGCAGCCGCUUUGAGGAUAUUCGGACCUUUUUGGGGGCUGUGACCAAACUUGGCUUUAAGGUCAUCUACAAGGUGAGGGUCCCCAAGAAGUCUGCCUUUGUUCUUACCUUUUUUCGGAUAAUGGUGUUCAGGAAGGAAGAUGUAAACAUAGAGACUGGCAUUUUGCUUUUUCAAUACAAAACUCUGGGAGGAGCUGUGAGAUGCUCUCUGAACAGGGGAAACACUGAGGUGUGUGGUUGGAGUGAAGAUUUGUAGCUCAUCAGUAUUCUCUGCUCCUAGGACCUGACCAACAGCCACUUCUUCUUGUUUGACUUUGAAAAGACUGGACCUCCUCGAGUAGGACCCAAAGCCCAACUCUCAGGCCUUAAACUUCAGCCCUGUCUCUACAAGCACAGGUGACCAAUGGACACCGUUGAAAGGGAGAGAUCAGACUCCCAUCUCAGAACUCUGAAGACUGUAUCUACCCAGGCUCUGAGCCAGAAUCUGGUACCACCCUCUUUCUGUGCCAAGAACACUGUGGUAAAGGCUCCAGCUCAGCUCUAUUCUAAUGGAGCUUUCGUGGCUACAGAAAGCAUGAAAUUUCUUGGGCAGGUUCAAGAAUGAGGUGUUUAUUGUGAGGGCAUGGAUGUGUCUGGAAGUUUUAGGUCACUUCAGGUAUUGUGGAAACUAGUCAGCUGAGAGUUGAUGGAUCUCUGGAUUUCUUUUUAUCUCUCAGAAGGCAUGUGGACUCUCUGCUGUGUUAUCUUCUAAUCUGUGUUGUUCACCUCUGCUCAUCCAUAGUUUCUGCUCCUUCAGCUUCAAGACUGCAGACAGGAAGCUUUUGCCACAUGGCAGGUCCCAAUGCCAGUUUGCCACUUGGGGCUGGGAGUUAUUUAAUUUCUUUGUUUUUUGGAACUGGAAAUCAUUUAAUUUUUUACAUCAUCUCACACUAGUUCAGGCUGACCUCAAACAAAUGGCAAUCCUGCUUCAGCGUCCUGACUAUUGGGAUCACAGGCAUGAGCCACCAUAUUCAGCUUAAGAAAUCAUUUACUCUCUGAAUAUUCCAUUUCUCAUUUGAACAGUGUAAACGUCUCACAGUAUGUUGUGUGGGUUCACUGAGGAGAGCUAGAGUUGAGAAGAGUAAGGUGCGAAUGAACCAUCUGUGGCUACUGUAUAUCGUUGAUCUUACUGUUCUUUAAAGAUCACCUCUAAGCAGGUUUAGAGGUUGAAGAGUAAGUAAUUUAGAUGUGACGGAGAAAGAUUGGGAAAGUUUGAUAUAGGCAUGUAAACAGGCUUAUUUGCUAUUUAGAGACUUAGUCCAUUUGAAGCUUUCUUUGGAAGGGGGUAAUAAAGAAGCUGGAUCUCUGUUCAAUAACAAA
rnacentral:lncRNA from 1 species